rnacentral:rRNA from 1 species
AAAACGUCGUGAGACAGUUUGGUCCCUAUCUGCCGUGGGCGUUGGAUACUUGACGGAGCCUGCUCCUAGUACGAGAGGACCGGAGUGGACGUACCUCUGGUGUACCGGUUGUCAUGCCAAUGGCAUUGCCGGGUAGCUAAGUACGGAAGAGAUAACCGCUGAAGGCAUCUAAGCGGGAAACUCGUCUGAAGAUAAGGUAUCCCGGGGACUUGAUCCCCCUGAAGGGUCGUUCGAGACCAGGACGUUUGAUAGGUCGGGUGUGGAAGCGCAGUAAUGCGUUAAGCUAACCGAUACUAAUUGCCCGUGAGGCUUGAUCCUAUAACACUGAUGGUUAUG